ensembl:lncRNA
GGGAGAGGCUGUGGAUGAUACUGUGACGUGCAGAGUACUGGACAGAUGCAAGGAACAAGCACAUUUUCUGAAGACUAUUUCUGACUGGUGUUUCAUUGACUUUUAAAGAUGGUGAGUAGACAUUUUAACCUACAUACACAAAGUGAUGGUUCUGUAUUGAAACUAAAAGUUCAUAUUAACAGUUGAGCUUUCAGCAUGACUUCCUCUUCUCUUCCUGGUCAAGGUGUAUGACUCCAUGUUGACUCUCCCCAGAGACCUGCAGAACCAUCAUCUCCAUCUUGGUCUCCAUGGUCGCCAGCAUCGCCAGGAUGGGGAAUGUGCAACAGCUGCUCGGCGCGAGGGUUCCGGAACCAAGGCCCAGGUUGCCACGGCAGCUGGGGUUCUGUUCCUGAUUUGCCAGGGUGCUGAGUCUGGUGUCUCUCAGCUGGACAGCUCCGUGUCAUCACUGACUUCUAUAAUCCUCUGGAACACCAAGGCUUAAAGAGCAGGGUGCGGCCAUCUUUAUCUGGUGGGGGAGCUCUCAUGGCCAGGUACGGACCACAAUGCAGUAAAUCAGACUUUUUUUUUUUUUUUUUUUUUUUUUUUUUUAAUCUUCAAUUUUGAUGGAUUUAUUGUUGUCCUGAAACUACUGAAGCAACUAUGUAUUUUAAAUGUCCUUCCAGUCAUUCAGGGGUGUUCUGGUGUCCUGGUGUUCUCGUGCCCACAGAGGGACGGCCCUGGACGGCAUAAGGGUUGGUAUAAUAAACCACCACUAACCCUGCCCGCAGCCAGGGCACGUCUCAUGUCUGAUCUGCCCGACCAGAGGAGGACCCUAUUCCCUAUGUAGUGCACGACGUGUUCCCUAGAGAAUAGGAUGGUAUUUGGAGACCUGUUCCCUAUAUAGAGACCAGGGUCGUAUUCCCUAUAUAGUGCACUACUUUAGACCAGGACCCUAUAUAGUACACUACUUUAGACCAGGAGCCUAUAUAGUACACUACUUUAGACCAGGAGCCUAUAUAGUACACUACUUUAGACCAGGAGCCUAUAUAGUACACUACUUUAGACCAGCCAGGACCCUAAAUAGUACACUACUUUAGACCAAGGCCCUAUAUAGUACACUACUUUAGACUAGGACCCUAUAUAGUACACUACUUUAGACCAGGACCCUAUAUAGUGCAGUACUUUAGACCAGGGCCCUAUAUAGUGCACUACUUUAG